rnacentral:tRNA from 2 species
GCCCGGGUGGCGGAAUUGGUAGACGCCUGGGACUUAAAAUCCCAUGCUCCGUAUGGGGCGUGCCGGUUCGAGUCCGGCCCCGGGUACUA